UGAACCUCCUGACCCUGACCCCUCUGACCCUCCUGACCAUCCUGACCCUGACCCUUCUCAUGACCCUCCUGACCCUUCUCCUGACCAAACUGAGUGUCUGAACAAGACGGGCCUUGGUCAGGGAGGAGACCUGGUUCCAGACACCUCCUCUCCCACAGAUUCAGAGGUGACGGGAGGUCGAGCACCUCGGCAGCUCUCCGCCCAUCAGGCCGACAGGCGGCGUGUCGUGUCCGCUCCCCACAUCCCUGCAGAUGAAGCAACGUGGACUCAGCAUCACGUUCAGGGUCACAUUUACUUUACUUUUACUCGUUCCGAUUUAUUCAAACUUGCAGCCUGUAGCUUUGAGGCCGAGAGUUGAAACGUGCACUAAAUAUUCACUUUUCCUUUCAGGAGUCUGGAAUGCGUCGGAAAACUCCUCAUCGAUCGUGUUUCAGGAGCGUCUUCCUCACAGACACACCUCCUCAUCAUAAUGUCGUGUUGAGAUUUAUCCUCGACUGUGAACUCGGCCUGAGCUCUGACACUAACUCGUGGUCUUCACACUAAACACAGGUUUAGUGUUUCUUUCUGUUUCUCUUCCUUCACAUUUCUGCUCCUCGGUCUCAGGCGACAUUCGGUCCCCGUGACGACAGAAGAAGAGGCGGCGACGCACACAGAAAGAAACACGCUUAAUCCCCGUUUAAUCUGCACCUGCGACGGGAUCGGCCACCGGCUGAGACUCGAGUACAGACAUCAGACAUCACACACAGACUCCGGGGAACAAGAAAUCAAAUCUGUUGGUUUUCUGGGAGCAAUUCUACAUCUGUGUCACGCACUAAUGACGCGUGUCCAUUGGAGUUGAGCCGCUACAGAAGGCGAGAGGCAGAUGAGAGGAUGAGAGCAGAGAAGAUCUCAGAGCGAGGGAUUUGGAUGAGGAGACGAGAAAGAACAGAGGAGGUGAAGAGAAACCGAGAUGCAGAAAGAAAGAGAGAGAGAACGGGAAGAAAAGAAGAGCGCAGACUUAAAGGGGCAGUUAGAAAUUUUAAUCCAAUACACGUUUUGUAUAAAAUCAGCUAAUAUUUCCUCAAAGACUGGAAAAAUAAUCUGGAAAAAUGGUGCGGACCGAACCGCACCUCACUGUGUCGUAGGUAAACAUCACGACACAUUAACAGACGAGCUAGCGACGGACGCUAGGACCCAGGGGUUUUGGCCUGGUGGUAAGCGCGUCAGGCUGCGGGUUCGGGCCCCGACCAGGGCCGGACAAUCACCAUCCACAGCUACAACGGAAAAACACCUCACUGCCCCUUUGACUCAAUUCGAGUCGAACAGGCAGAAACCUGGGAGACGUCCGAGAACACGGACGGAACAUGAGACGACCACGGACGAGACUUAAAAAGGUAAACCCCGCCCUCUCGUCUAAUGUCAGCUGGGAUCUGGCUCCGCCCCCCUCACAAACACACAUCGACGAGGUUUGUUACGUCGUCUGGUUUUGACUCGUCACCUCUGAACAUCAAACUCCAGGACCUGUCACUCAAACUGACAUUCCUGGAUUCUGUUUCGUCUUCUCACCGGUUCCUCUCCCCGCCUCACGCCAGUACAACCCCCUCCUCUUUAAGUACCCUGACGAACAGAUUCCCUCAGCCAGACGGGCAGCGACAGAGCAAAGUCCUCAGCAGCAGUGAUUCACCCACUUCAGUCUUCGAAAGGACGAGGCUGCGAUCAAGAGAGAGAGAGAAGAAGGCCGACCACACCUGGGCGUCCAUGUUGGUGACUCAGGCCCUGACUCAGAGGCGGAUCAUCCUGCUGCCGGAGCUUCAGCACAGCAGACGUUUGGUCCGAGAGGACGGAUGAGAGAAGCAGAUGAGAAGGAGCUCGUCCGCCUGGAAUUCAAAAGAUGGCCGACAACGAUGUAACGUCUCAUGUAUUUUGACUUUACACUUUGAUUUGGUUAUGGUUAAGGUUCGUUGGCGUUUUAACUACAUUUAACGAUCGAAACGACGGCACUACAACAAAAGAGUCACUACAUCGACCGCUGUUCUGUCGCUUCUCCGCCACAGUUUAAUAUGUGGCCGAUAAUGAGACUGUUACGCCGGUCGCCAACCACCAUUAAAAACAACAGAGGAUAACAUUCAUACUCUUCCUCAUCUUGUAUAUGAUUGAUUACAGUUUCACAUCAAAUAUUGAUUCAGUCCAGGCAUGGCCGGAAUCGAACCCACAAUCUUGGGUUGACGAGACCAACACCUUAUGACUUGGCCACCGCGUCUUGAGCAAGUGGAAGGAAGGCCAUCUUCAUCCCUGGUACAUUCACUCGUAUGCUAAAGGAGAUAGGAAAGGAAGCUCCUUUCGUUAAACAUUUAGAGAAUCCGAACAGAUGAUGAGGAAACUCUUCCUUCAAGAUUUAGGAAACUUCCUCAGCAAAUCGUACGAUUCGACCGCAGCCCGCAGCCCGACGUUCCACAUGCAGACAAACACCGUGCGUCCAUUUUACUACGGUGGCCCUGAAGUGCAAAACACAACUGGAAGUUGUGUAUUUGUGAUUUGUACCGUACGUCACGGCCCCAGCGUUCUUCUCCUCUGAGAUCCUCCAGCGAGCUCCUCACCUCAGGAACCUCGGGAAGUUUAAUUCUGAAACGAAUUCUCAUCGUCUGUGUGACAAAAAUCUCUGCGUUGGAUCGAAACGUUGCUUCAUUAACGUGGAUUUCUUUUGAACGUCGUCACAGUGUGACGUCUGACAACAUGAAGACGAGGCGCUGGAGUCUCAUCCUGGCGUCCAGCAGGGGGCAGCAGAGGCUGAGGGUGCCACCAGGAAGUCCUCCAUCCAUGACCUGGAGGAACUAUUUCCCUGCUCCCGACGACCAACACGUCAUCGGUACCCGGUGUCGGCGCGGACGGCGAGGAGGAAGAUGUCAGAGCGAUCUGAGUUAUUUUUGGUCUGUUGUAUUAAUCUCCUUAUGAAUCCUGUGCAACGAUGUCGCUUCCCGGUUUUUUCUCGUGUUGUUGGUCGCUCAGCAACAGAAUGAUGAGCUGGGUGAUGAAACCACUUGAACAUGAGGCUCUCGACUUCAGACCUCAUCAGGAAGUUGACUCAGACGAGACACGCGCCUCGCCUCAUUGGUCCCGGGGGUCUGUCAAUCACUGGAGGUGACGCAACGCUGUCUGGCUCUGUUGAUCCACUGCACACACACACACACACACACACACACACGCACACGCACACACACACACACAUGCACACACACACGCACACACACUCUCAAGGACUAAUAGUUUUGAAAUGAUGAAUAUUUUAUUAAUGUCUUUUGUAAAACCGUUCUAAAUGAGAAAGGAGCUGUGUACUUUGUGUUUUGCCAAUAUAUUUAUAUACAUGUAUGUCUAUAUAUUUUGAGGAACAAGACAAUACGCUGUGUUCUCAUGUUCUGUCACAAGAUGUUCAGCCGUUCAGUGUUUCCAGUUUCCUCCCUCCCCGGGUUUGGCCUUUCAGCCGUGAAGGCUGCAACAAUAAGGGCGAAUAAAAGCGCCAGAGGAGCAGCGGCAGGUUUUCACUCUGUCGCCUGUCGGCAGGACGAUGAAGGAUGAAGGAUGAAGGAUGAAGGAUGAACUCAGUGUGGAGCUUAUGUCGUUUGGUCGAGUCCCACCACACGCAGGGGCGUAGCACCAGCUUCUGGGCCCUGGCCACACGAUGGGGGGGGGGGGGGGGGGUUGACCGACCUGAUGACAUCAUCAGCCCAUGCAUCAUCCAGGUGACCUCAUCACCUGGUCAGCAGCGUUGUGACACUGGUGUGAAAACACGUUCUUGACCAGAUACACACAAAUAACCCUCAUGGUCCACUUCAGUCUGGGAGAUGUCCGAUCCAUCGCAGGGUCUUCGUCAGUUUUAAAAUUGUUAUUUAUUAAAGUAAAUUCAAAUGAGAAAAUACACUCAGUUUCCACAGCUGCCAGUUAAUUAGGAACACGUGGAUAAAGCAAAAGCUAAUGUGGCUUUGUACAACAGUCCUGUAAUAACUCGCUCAUAAUGUUCAUUUAAAAGUGUUUUGCAGAAAUGUUGAUUCAUCUGUGAGGUCGUUCUGCAGAAUUUAGUUUGAGGAGCUGUUUAACUGUGUUUCUAUUAUUAUUGUUAUUAUUCUAUUAGUUUACUUACAGUAAUAAAUAGGUGUACACAGGGUCCUGCGCCGGCUGCAUCAUAAUAAAGUAUAUUAUUGUUUUAAUGUUCUAUAUUUAUCUUAUUGUCCCAAAACAAACCAUGGAUUUAUUCUUUUAAAAAGGUUUCGUCUGUUUAUGUAAAAACUUGAGCUUGGAACACUUUUUUAAGAAAUGACGAAGCCGAGAACAGUUCCUGUCUCAUCCUUUAAUCCAUGAACUCAGUUGUUAAGUGUGAAUAAUAUCAAUAGUAACGAUGAUAAAAAAAUUAUCAUAUUUUGAUUCAACGCCGUCAGUUCUUUGUCCGAGGUGUGUGUCUGUGUGUGUGUGUGUGUCUGUGUGUGUGUCUGUGUGUGUGAGAGUUUGUGUUUGUGUGUGUGUGUGUGAGAGAGUGUUUGUGUGUGUGUGUGUGUGUGUGUGUCUCUGUG